GACGACGCUGGCGGCGUGCUUAACACAUGCAAGUCGAACGAUGAAGCCCAGCUUGCUAGGUGGAUUAGUGGCGAACGGGUGAGUAAUACGUGAGUAACCUACCUUUAACUCUGGGAUGAGCCUGGGAAACUGGGUCUAAUACCGGAUACGACCAAUCUCCGCAUGGGGUGUUGGUGGAAAGCGUUAUGUAGUGGUUAUAGAUGGGCUCACGGCCUAUCAGCUUGUUGGUGAGGUAACGGCUCACCAAGGCGACGACGGGUAGCCGGCCUGAGAGGGUGACCGGCCACACUGGGACUGAGACACGGCCCAGACUCCUACGGGAGGCAGCAGUGGGGAAUAUUGCACAAUGGGCGCAAGCCUGAUGCAGCGACGCCGCGUGAGGGAUGACGGCCUUCGGGUUGUAAACCUCUGUUAGCAGGGAAGAAGAGAGAUUGACGGUACCUGCAGAGAAAGCGCCGGCUAACUACGUGCCAGCAGCCGCGGUAAUACGUAGGGCGCGAGCGUUGUCCGGAAUUAUUGGGCGUAAAGAGUUUGUAGGCGGUUUGUCGCGUCUGCUGUGAAAGGCCGGAGCUUAUCUCCGUGUAUUGCAGUGGGUACGGGCAGACUAGAGUGCAGUAGGGGAGACUGGAAUUCCUGGUGUAGCGGUGGAAUGCGCAGAUAUCAGGAGGAACACCGAUGGCGAAGGCAGGUCUCUGGGCUGUAACUGACGCUGAAGAAGCGAAAGCAUGGGGAGCGAACAGG
rnacentral:rRNA from 1 species